rnacentral:rRNA from 1 species
AGAGUUUGAUCAUGGCUCAGGACGAACGCUGGCGGCGUGCCUAAUACAUGCAAGUCGAGCGGAUUUCAAGGAGCUUGCUCCUUGAUUUCAGCGGCGGACGGGUGAGUAACACGUGGGCAACCUGCCUAUAAGACUGGGAUAACUUCGGGAAACCGGAGCUAAUACCGGAUAAUCCUUUUCCUCUCAUGAGGAAAAGCUGAAAGACGGCGUAAGCUGUCACUUAUAGAUGGGCCCGCGGCGCAUUAGCUAGUUGGUGAGGUAACGGCUCACCAAGGCGACGAUGCGUAGCCGACCUGAGAGGGUGAUCGGCCACACUGGGACUGAGACACGGCCCAGACUUCUACGGGAGGCAGCAGUAGGGAAUCUUCCGCAAUGGACGAAAGUCUGACGGAGCAACGCCGCGUGAGCGAAGAAGGCCUUCGGGUCGUAAAGCUCUGUUGUUAGGGAAGAACAAGUACCGGAGUAACUGCCGGUACCUUGACGGUACCUAACCAGAAAGCCACGGCUAACUACGUGCCAGCAGCCGCGGUAAUACGUAGGUGGCAAGCGUUGUCCGGAAUUAUUGGGCGUAAAGCGCGCGCAGGCGGUCUCUUAAGUCUGAUGUGAAAGCCCCCGGCUCAACCGGGGAGGGUCAUUGGAAACUGGGAGACUUGAGUGCAGAAGAGAAGAGCGGAAUUCCACGUGUAGCGGUGAAAUGCGUAGAGAUGUGGAGGAACACCAGUGGCGAAGGCGGCUCUUUGGUCUGUAACUGACGCUGAGGCGCGAAAGCGUGGGGAGCAAACAGGAUUAGAUACCCUGGU